CAUUAUUCAAACAAACAGAGCUAAUAGCUCAAGAGGUGAACGUCAUCCAGAGAAUACCACUCUAGUCAGUGCUUGGCCUGUUCUCACACAUUAAGCACUGGCAUAGGUCUGUACAUGGUAGAUCAUGCUGUUUGCAUGUACAUCUGCCCUUAGUACACUGUGUUUUUUGGCAUCCACAGUGUACAAGUGCCAGUACAGCCUCUGGAGCUGGUGGCAGUGACAUCCACUCCACUUCGUAGCCAUCUCCAGCCAUUUUCCACCCAUGGUUCACUGGAGGUGGAAUAUCCGGCAUACACUCAAGGCUUCGGCGGUGUACUGCAGCCUGAUAACUUGCACGCUGAAUAUGUUUGUGCAAGCAGUCUUUAUUUGGAGGUGACAUGUGAAGACCUCCAGUGCUUCACAAAGGUCUGAAGAUGGGGUGAAGCUAGCUCCUAGGUCUUGGAACAGACGCAAGUACUCUGGUUUUGAGCAUAAUUUUUUGUAGGCUUUUGCUUUCCCAACUUUAUACAGAGCACUCACAGUAUCACAUCCAGAAAAGGCAUGCAGACCUACAAGGGCAUGACAUUUGUCCUCACCAAGAUGGCUGUGUAGUUUGCUUAUAUCUGUAAUGUGUGUUUCUCUUCCCUUGGCUGUGUGGAAGUACAGAUGACCGUCUAUUUGUGGGCAAAAUGCUAGAGCCAGCACAAAAACAUCUGUGUCUGGACUCCUAAUCACCAGGUCACUGCAGGACUUGGAUGCAUAAGCGGCGUGCAGCAGAAUUCGUGUAUCUGCCUCUUCUUGAGUAGUCUCAAGAUGUGGUCCAGCGUUGGAAGAAGUACUCAAGCAAGUUGUUUUUGUUCUCCCCACAUUGCAGGAAUUUUUUCCAUUGCUU